rnacentral:rRNA from 1 species
GUCGUCAGCUCGUGUCGUGAGAUGUUGGUUAAGUCCGCAACGAGCGCAACCCCUAUUGUUAGUUGCCAUCAUUCAGUUGGCACUCUAGCGAGACUGCCGGUAAUAAACCGGAGGAAGGUGGGGAUGACGUCAAAUCAUCAUGCCCCUUAUGACCUGGGCUACACACGUGCUACAAUGGUUGGUACAACGAGUUGCGAGUCGGUGACGGCGAGCUAAUCUCUUAAAGCCAAUCUCAGUUCGGAUUGUAGGCUGCAACUCGCCUACAUGAAGUCGGAAUCGCUAGUAAUCGCGGAUCAGCACGCCGCGGUGAAUACGUUCCCGGGCCUU